UACGUAGGGGGCGAGCGUUGUCCGGAGUUACUGGGCGUAAAGCGCACGCAGGCGGUCACGGGCGUGGGCGGUGACAGCUCCCGGCUCAACUGGGAGAGGGUCGCUCAGACACUGUGGCUGGAGGGCGAGAGAGGGACCUGGAACUCCGGGUGGAGUGGUGAAAUGCGUAGAGAUCCGGAAGAACACCAAAGGCGAAGGCAAGGUCCUGGCUCGUUACUGACGCUGAGGUGCGAAAGCUAGGGGAG
rnacentral:rRNA from 1 species